ensembl:lncRNA
AAAGAAAGUUCAGCAGGACAGUGGAGUUAUUCCCAACUCCACAUAAAUACACAUAAAUGAAAUUGAACUAAAAGAGAGGCGUGCAACAUGAAGCUGUUUGUGGCAAGGGGGGCGUGGUUUAGCGAAGUCUGCAGCGGGAGAGACAAUCAGGAGACGAUCGGUAAGUGAGUGGUUUGGGCAGAGACGAGCAACACCUGUCUCUUGUUUCAGUAAUUGGCGUGGAGAGAGUAUAAAAUGCCAGGAGAGACAGAAGCAAGACAGAGAGAGACGGACUGCUGACGUGACCUCAAACCGGAAGAAGUCACCCGGAAGUGUUAUGUGAUCGUGUCGUUGUUGAUGCUAGAGUAAAAGUCACCGUUGGUGCAAAGUUUAUUUGUGUGAUAAUAAAAGAUACGUCAGCAGUCCAGCCGACCCCUUUGUCCUCUUCCUUUCCUCCCACGAACUUACUACACUGGUGCCGAAACCCGGGAAAGGAAGAAGGAGUGCCGCCGCCAUGCAGAGUCCCUCCUCUACGCCAUUUGCGGACGUCAUUUCAUCCCUCGCGGCCCUGCAUCAAGAGCAACACCAGGCCCUGCUGGACUUAAGAACGGAUCAGGAGCGGCGAUUCCACGCCAUCCUUCAAGCCCAGCAGGAGGACCGCGAGAGGUUCCGGAGCUGGAUCGACCGGGAGGUUCGCGCCGAGGCCACGGGACCGCCCGCGGUACCCGCUCACUUACCCCUCCACAAGAUGGGACCACAAGACGACCCGGAAGUUUUUCUGGAACUGUUUGAGAAAGCUGCGGAAGCGUGCGGCUGGCCCCGCGACCAAUGGCCGGUCCGUUUGAUCCCCCUGCUCUCGGGCGAGUCCCAGGUGGCCGCACAACAGCUACCGGUGGCGAACCUCCUGGUCUUCGACGACCUGAAACGGGCCAUCAUUCAGCGGGUCGGCCGGACCCCAGAGCAGCAUCGCCAGCGGUUCCGUUCCCUGGACCUGGGGGAAUCCGGUCGGCCAUUUGCGAUGGCCCAGCAGCUCCGGGACUCCUGCCGCAAAUGGCUACUGGCCGAGGGAAGUGACGUGGAACACCUCAUCGACCUCGUGGUGCUGGAGCAAUUCAUCGCUCGGCUCCCGAAAAAAACAGCCGAGUGGGUCCAGUGCCACCGUCCCACGUCACUGGACUCGGCCGUCCAUCUGGCAGAGGACCACAUGGUGGCGUGCCCCGGGGUCGGCGAACCCCUAACAUCUCUCUCUCUCUCUCCCUCUCUCUCCUCCCCGUCUCUCUCUCGACCUGUCCCUCUCCCUAGGUCCCGUCCACCCGGUCCUCCUCGUGUCCCGCCCCGGGGGCGGGGCGGGAUUGACCAAGGACAUCAUGGGAAUCCAAGGGCCCCGCCCAGGGGGGCGGGGCUGAUGGCUGCCGGAGGGGACAGCGCUUCUGUUUCCCCGCUCUCUCCACGCCAAUUCUCCAAUCCACUCCCUGCCACUGGGGCGGCGGGGAGGUCUGGGCUGGCCUGUUGGCGUUGUGGGGACCCGGAGCAUUUUGUGGACAGGUGUCCAGUGAUGGAGGUGGGGACGAUGAUCCGGGUCCCGGAUGUCCCACAGGCCACCCCCUGUCAGGCAGGAGAGUACCAAAUACCUUAAUUGGCGUGGAGAGAGUAUAAAACGCCAGGAGAGACAGAAGCAAGACAGAGAGAGACGGACUGCUGACGUGACCUCAAACCGGAAGAAGUCACCCGGAAGUGUUAUGUGAUCGUGUCGUUGUUGAUGCUAGAGUAAAAGUCACCGUUGGUGCAAAGUUUAUUUGUGUGAUAAUAAAAGAUACGUCAGCAGUCCA